rnacentral:tRNA from 1 species
GCCUUCGUGGCGUAAUGAUCAGGACUCUUGGCUCAUAUUCAAGAGGUCCGAGGUUAGAGCCCUUGCGAGGGUA